AGAUUUCUAAUUUUAAUGUUAUCAAGUGGAUUAUUUUGACAAUGGUAGACCUGCCCUCAUUGCACUUCAUGGCUGGAGACCACAGAGGGGACGCCUGACCAGGGCGUGACGUCAUACUGGACCGACCCAGAGGGAAAUGUGGUGUUUGGCCCAAACACUCCCCAGGAAAAGAUAGAGAUGCAAAAGCGAAAGGCUAAGACGCCCCCUGUGAA